rnacentral:lncRNA from 1 species
AUGAGAUGGGACAAUGGGACAGGACAGUGGGAUGGCACAAUGAGAUGGGACAAGUGGAUAGGAUGGGAUAAUAGGAUGGGACAGUGGGAUGGGACAAGUGGAUGGGAUGGGACAACGGAAUUGGAUGAGAUGGGACAAUGGGAUGGGACAAUAAGCACCUCAGGAUAUCCCAUCCUUUUCCCUGCUCCCUUCCUAGGAAUUCCCAGUGUCCUCGUUCCCUCUGGAGCAGCACCCCAUGCCCUGUGUGCAGUGUCCUCACACCCCGUGGAGGCACCGCCGCUCCUGUGGGUGCCCCCGGCCACCUCUCACUGUCACAGGGGUCACAGCCCUGGCACCAGUGUCCCUCUCCUCCAGUGCUCACGUGCCAUGAGCUCCAGCAGCCCAGGGACCCCUGUGGCCCAGGGACAGUGGCCAGGGGACUCCAUCCUGCAGUCCAGGGAUUCUGCAGCCCCAUCCUGCAGCCCAGGGACCCCUGCAGCCCAGGGACCCCUGCAGCCCCAUCCUGCAGCCCAGGGACCCCCAUGGCCCAUCCUGCAGCCCAGGGACUCUGCAGCCCCAUCCUGCAGCCCAGGGACCCCCAUGGCCCAUCCUGCAGCCCAGGGACCCCCAUGGCCCAUCCUGCAGCGCAGGGACCCCUGCAGCCCCAUCCUGCAGCCCAGGGACCCCUGCAGUCCCAUCCUGCAGCCCAGGGACCCCCAUGGCCCAUCCUGCAGCCCAGGGAUUCUGCAGCUCCAUCCUGCAGCCCAGGGACCCCUGCAGCCCCAUCCUGCAGCCCAGGGACCCCCAUGGCCCAUCCUGCAGCACAGGGACCCCUGUGGCCCAGGGACAGUGGCCAGGGGACUCCAUCCUGCAGCCCAGGGACCCCUGCAGUCCCAUCCUGCAGCCCAGGGACCCCUGCAGUCCCAUCCUGCAGCCCAGGGUCCCCUGCAGCCCCAUCCUGCAGCCCAGGGACCCCUGCAGCCCCAUCCUGCAGCAGAACUGAGGGACAGGUCAGGUCUCCUUGUCCCACAGCCCCAGCACAGCAGGGCUGGGCUCCCAGCUGUCCUGAGCAGGAGCUGUCUGUCCCUCUGCGGGUGUUGCUGCCCACAGCCCCCGCCCUGGGGUCUCUGCCUGCCCCCCUCAGGGCACUCUCUCUCCCCAUGUCCCUGUCCUUGGUGGGUGCACGCAUGGUGUAGCCCCAAGGCUCCCGGACACCCCCGGAGCCCCUCUGGGAAAGCUCUGCCAGGCAAAAGAAAUCUCAGCACAGCCCGAGUGGAGCCAGCAGGAGUUUAA